GGGCGCCAAAACCUUCAUGAAGAAGGGUACCCAAAAUGGAGGAUUAACAACAACAUUUAGAAUAACAAGAUGGCCAUGUAAGGCAAGGUGGUAAAACAAGGACAUGGGUUGCAUGAACGCUGGGACAUGACCAGGACCACAGGGUUACCGACUUCAGAAAGGAACACAGGACUUCUGGACACAGGAACACAGGUGUGCGCGCAUCAGGUCAGCUGUGGAGCCCUCAGCAACACUGGUGCACCACGCUACUGGAGCUUUCGACACAAGUUUGAAGUCGUCAUUUAUGUAAUGGAUAGUGGUGGAUACGAAUGAGGAGACUGCAGGAGAUUUUACUUGAAAAGACAGUUUUUUUGUUCAACUGAAACAAUACGCACAAGAUAGCGCAGUCCUGAAGUACCAGACUUGUACUCACAGUAACGUAACACUCUUGAACACCUGUCACAACUUACAAAUUCCAUAUGUUUCCCUGCACCAUCAACUACAGCUGAAAAUUUAUUCCAACUAUCUGACUUUCCAUGUUUUUUCUUCUUGAUUGUACUUUUUUUUUUUUUUUAAUAAAAACCUCUACGUCCUCAGGUUUUAGAUCGGCCAUUCUUAUAAGCACUGACAGCAAGCUGAUACAACAGUGACAGUCUGUGUAUAUGUGAGGCCACAGAACAACAAAACCUGUGAGUGUGAUUCUCUGACCUGAGUUGAGCUGGUAUUCUACACUGGAUUCAGAGCGAGAGAGAUAAAUGCGUAUAGGAAAGAGAAACAAAAUAAUUAGCAAUUUCCCAAAUAGGCUAGUCAUGGUAAACGGACAAGAGAUUUAGUUUUCAGAGUAGCAGCCGUGUUAGUCUGUUUUCAGCAAAUUACUGCAGUCUGUUAUUUUGCUCACCCAAUCCCGCCCACAGGAGCCCAGUCCUGCUGCAGGGGUCUAACUGGCACUAUAUUCAUUGCAUUAGAGUUGGUUCAGAUGCUUGUACUGAGAAUUGUUAUAAGGG